AGCUACACAUGCAGUCGAGCGGAACGAGUUAUCUGAACCUUCGGGGAACGAUAACGGCGUCGAGCGGCGGACGGGUGAGUAAUGCCUAGGAAAUUGCCCUGAUGUGGGGGAUAACCAUUGGAAACGAUGGCUAAUACCGCAUGAUGCCUACGGGCCAAAGAGGGGGACCUUCGGGCCUCUCGCGUCAGGAUAUGCCUAGGUGGGAUUAGCUAGUUGGUGAGGUAAGGGCUCACCAAGGCGACGAUCCCUAGCUGGUCUGAGAGGAUGAUCAGCCACACUGGAACUGAGACACGGUCCAGACUCCUACGGGAGGCAGCAGUGGGGAAUAUUGCACAAUGGGCGCAAGCCUGAUGCAGCCAUGCCGCGUGUGUGAAGAAGGCCUUCGGGUUGUAAAGCACUUUCAGUCGUGAGGAAGGUAGUGUAGUUAAUAGCUGCAUUAUUUGACGUUAGCGACAGAAGAAGCACCGGCUAACUCCGUGCCAGCAGCCGCGGUAAUACGGAGGGUGCGAGCGUUAAUCGGAAUUACUGGGCGUAAAGCGCAUGCAGGUGGUUUGUUAAGUCAGAUGUGAAAGCCCGGGGCUCAACCUCGGAAUUGCAUUUGAAACUGGCAGACUAGAGUACUGUAGAGGGGGGUAGAAUUUCAGGUGUAGCGGUGAAAUGCGUAGAGAUCUGAAGGAAUACCGGUGGCGAAAGGCGGCCCCCUGGACAGAUACUGACACUCAGAUGCGAAAGCGUGGGGAGCAAACAGGAUUAGA
rnacentral:rRNA from 1 species